CGUUACAAAAUAACGUGUUUCUGCCAUAUUACAUCUAGGCCCUAAACAUAUAAUAUUUAAAGUACUGCAGCAGAAUACCACGGCAGAAGAAGACCAGACAAGCUGUAAAAUCUCUACAGGUUCUUGACAUUCUUAAAAAAGUGUACCAGGCAUUUGAGCAAGAGAGGACACAGGGAAGGGUAAAAAACAUUUCUGACCCUCUGAAGAGACUUUCCACAGCAACAGGAAUAUCUGAAAGAACUCUGAAGGCAAAUCUCCUGUCUGAUCCAGUGAAAACUGUGGUUGAGGAUCUGCAAGUCCCUCCUGUACAGCAGAAGAUCCACUCCAAUAAGGGGCUCGAUGACUUUGAUGAGGACCUGGUGA